CUCUCUUAAUAGAUCUCUAUUCAUUUUCAAAUGAGUUGAUUAGCCAGCACAAUGUCAGUGGAUUCAGGGGCCCAUUACACAUUUAUGACAGUCAAUUACAGUACAUUUACAAUCCAAAUGAAAUUUCAUGAGGGUUGAUAUUUAAAAAAGCCUUGUGUGCAUCUGGUGCUCUUGACUCCUCCUUAUGCGCUGUGACAAAUGCAUCACAUCAGCGCCCCCUGUGGUCAGAAAUGGUGUUGCAGCAAGGAAGGUGUCUGAGCUGUCAGGGUGUGUGGACUGUAACUGUCUCUAACUCAAAGUUUGUUUCUAAGUCAUGUCUUUGCGUGCAUGUCACGGUCACAAGGAGCAGGAGCUUACAUGCUGGAUAGUACACUAGUUCAUAACAGUGCACUAUGCGCACACUCAUUCACACCUAGGUGCAGCGUAUGUGAGCCAGUUCACCUAAUCCAUGGUUUUGGGAGGUGGGAGAAUUUGUCUCAGGAUUGAUCUGUGCCGGAUUGAGCUAUGAAGAAGACAGCAAAGCAAAGCAAAAAAAAAAGAGCUCAGGCCAUGGAGGACUACAUUGAGGAAGCAUCAGGGUUCAUCUCAUCCGCAGCUGCAGGAUUCUUCUUUAUGGAAAAACAGGAUGGUGGUCUAUGGCCUUGAACUGACUACAGUACCUUACCCUCUGCCACAAGUCUCUUGGGCUUUGGAACAACUUUGUGAGGCAUGUUUUUUUCCAGGUUGGAUUAACAAAUUGCAUAUAAUCUCAUCAGAAUAUGUGAACAAGAUGAAUGGAAAACGGCCUUCCGCACCAAGAGGGGUACUAUGAGUAAUUGUUAAUGCCUUAUGGCCUAACCAAGGCUCAAUCCUUUUUAGAGAUCUCCUCAAUUGAUGUCUUAUAGUGUAUGUACAUCACAUUUUAAUAUACUCCAAGACCACUGAGGGCCAUGUUCAACCAACCUGACCUUAAGAUAUCAUUCAUGGUAGAUUUGGUCAAAUGGUGGUAUCGGAGUCGUGCUAUCAGCAUCUUGGUAUCUUGGUGUGCCUUUUUUAAUGUACAAUGACUAACUAACUAUGAUGUCGGGAACAGAGAACUACUGUGCAUCAAGGCAGCAUUAGAACAGUGGUAUCACUGGUUUGAACCCCCCCCCUGUCCCUUUUAUAUAAUCACUGACCAUAAAAACCCUGAGUUUCUUAAAAGUGCCAAGUGACUCAAUUAACGUCAGACCCGAGGGGCUGAGGCUCUUUUCUUCACUCGUUUACAGUUACCUAUUGUCCUGGGUCAAAGAAAAAGUAAAGCUGAUGCCCUCUCAUGCCACCAUGACACAAUAUAGAAAUUUUCUCAUCUCUGAAACCAUCCUCCCUCCCUCCAUUAUUAUAGCACUUUUUUUUCUGAGAAAUUAUGGAGGAAAUUAGGCAGGACCAACAGCCAUAGCCCCCACCCUCUGAGCGCCCUUCCGCCAAACAGUACACCCACAGUAAACCCAGCUCCGGACUCCUUUGCAUUCUACACCAGUCCUUUUGGUGGCCCACACUAAGCUGGGACGUAGCACAAUAUGUUUAGGCUUGCACUCAAUCCAAGUCACCUCGACAAGUACUAGAACCACUCCAUGUGCCACGACACCUCUGUUCUCACAUCUCCAUUGACUUUGUCACAGGUUUACCAAUUUCUCAUGCUUACACCACUAUCCUUGUCAUUGUCCAUUGUUUCUUCAAAGCCUGCAGGCUAGUGCCCUUCAAGGACCUUCACACAGCCAUGGAGACAGAGAAAUCACUUUUCCACAAUGUAUUCCACAUCUACAGCCUACACGAAAAAAUAGUAUCAGAGCACGUAAAGAGGGUCUUUUCUGAACUGUUGGGAGCCUCAUGUCUGGGUAUCAACCGCAGACAAACAGAACGUCUGAAACAAUAGCUGGGCUAUUAUCUGCGAACGCAUCGCGCUGGUACAGUAGAGUGUCUUCCUCUGAGGGAAGACCUGACUGGUCUGAGUAUGCUCCAUGAUUCACUCUUCCAAAAGGUCUUACGUGUUUCCACUGUUGUUCACCUGGUCUGGGGAACCAUCUGAUGUGCUGGCUGUAGAUGAUUGGUUUUGUCUGAGACAGACAGUGUUUGAGUGCCCAUAUGCACCUACAGAAGUGCCAAAAUGCACCAUCCGGCACCAUUCUAAUGAUGUUUCUAACAGUGCUAUGCAAAGUAUUGUUAGUUCAGCUACAUAUCAAGCCAUUUUAUUGUUUUUUAUUUGCCUUCCUGUGUUCUGACCCAUGUCUUGUUAUCCUGAUUUAUGUUGGUUUUGUGAUUUUGUACUGUUGUUACUGUCUUUCCUGUAUUUUGGUAUAUUAUUUUUGCUUAUUUUUUGUUUUUGGUCUUUUUUUUAUUUAUUAAAGGCUCUGGUUCUUUAAUAAACCCUAUUCAUGUAUUGUACACCACCUGCUCCUGCAAAUUCCUAACAGUAACCAAUAUGGAAUUACUCAUAAAGAAUAUUCCUGCCGAUAGCAAAUAUGUGGCGUUAACAAUGCCGGCUCCAGUUAUUACACUGUGGUAUUAAAAUGUAUACCUCCGUCCACAGCUGAAUCACCGAACAUGAUUUCUGUCAGACAAAUAAAUCCUCUUAUCCUCUCAGCUCACCUUGUGUGUGCUCCUGCUCUCAGUGGCAGACAGACGAUCAGUAGCACACUCCUGUUUGUUAGCUGUGUAUUAGCAUUGGUUUCUUUCACCAUGUUAAAUCGUGAGGCCCUUUUUUCUCCUUUCAGCGCUUUAAAUGGCAUGUCACUGCAGGCUAUUCGAAAAGCAGCACAGGCCUCUGAUCUCCCAGCUGUAACAUCGUGGCUCGCUUAGCUUCUGUGAAGGGCUUGUCUCUGCCUCUAAGCUUGUGCAGGAGUGGAGCUCUAAUAGGGGGAAAUGUCUUGGACAACUGAUUUGAAGAUAUUUUGCUUCAUGCGCUGAGAGCACGGCAGGUGAUGCGGCGUCUCUCUCUUUUGAUGUACAACAACACAGAGGCACUACUUAUGAUAGCUACAGAACACGCAAGAGUGAGAUCUUCUUAUUCUGCCUCCUGUUCCAGCUACAUCAUAGGGGCUGACAUCUAUUACGGUAAAGAAAGACAAGUGUUUGAAACUGAAUUCAAGUGCGCGUGGAAGUGUCAGGAUUUACAGCAGGCCCAUUUUUCCUGUCCCCCGCCUUUCUUCCCCCUUCUCAUUUUUUUUAAUAAGAUGGUUUAAACCAAGCAUGUCUAUAUGAACUCCGCAGGAGGAAGCAUGAAAGGAUGCUGCCAGGCCAUAAUGAAAAUAUUUUACUCUUAAAGCCUGGUUAGUUCUCAGUGUCUCGAAGUGUGUGUGUGUGUGUUUGUGUGUCCUUUUGUAGAUUUUUAGUGAUGGACUGGAAGCAUGAGAAGAACUGGAAAUUCACAUUUCUACUAAUUACUACUUAUUUAUUUACUUUUCUUACUCAUUACUAAUUUUUUCAAAUGAGUGCAUGUGGUUGGCAUGGCUAAAAGAUCAUAUCCCUGUGUAUCAUGAAAUCCACGAUUAACAAAGAAGUAAAG